AAUGGAAGUUGUGUAAUAAAUACUACUGGUAUAGAAAGACAUUCUAUAUCAGUAAACAGACUUCCUAUAUAAACCUGAGGAUUCCUGGGAACUUCAGUAAGACAUGCUGCAGUUCUUCGUUCCCCCUUAAACAUG